rnacentral:lncRNA from 1 species
CCCCGCCCUGCCGCGCCCCAGGGACGCAGCGCGCACAGGGACGCAGCGCGCACGCAACCGCGUUUCCGGCGCUACCUGGCUGCUGUGCCCCGCAGCUUGUGGCGCUUGUGGACCGCGUGGGCCUGCGGGAGAUCGAUUCUUGUUCUCUUUUCUGGACUGAGAAGAGAAGAAUGGAGAAGAGCCCCUUCCCAUUGUGAGUGGACAGUAAAUGGGUAUGGAGUAGCCAGAAGCUUCUGGAAACCAGAGUUCCUUUCCUCAGCUGAAAAGAACCCUAAGAGUAGACUGCCUGGGAUUGCGUGGGGGAUGGGAGGAUCACUGGACCUGUGGGCCAGAGACUUGGGUUUGAGUCCCAGCUCUGGCUUUGCUGAGGUGUGUGACUCUCAGAAAGUCAUCCAACCUCUGUGGGCCUUAUUGUCAGUGAUAGAACCUGUGGGGAAUGAUUACCUUUGAGUCCCAUCCUAUGACAAUAUGGUUUGUUUUUAAAGCCAGGUUAGCACUGACUUCUCUCUCGUGUUUUCAGAGUGCCUUUGCAUUGGUUUGGCUUUGGCUACACAGCACUGGUUGUUUCUGGUGGGAUCGUUGGCUAUGUAAAAACAGGUAUGGUUUUGUUGUUACUUAGCC